CCUACGGGCUGCACCAGUGGGGAAUAUUGGACAAUGGGCGAGAGCCUGAUCCAGCAAUGCCGCGUUAGUGAUGAAGGCCUUAGGGUUGUAAAGCUCUUUUACCCGGGAUGAUAAUGACAGUACCGGGAGAAUAAGCCCCGGCUAACUCCGUGCCAGCAGCCGCGGUAAUACGGAGGGGGCUAGCGUUGUUCGGAAUUACUGGGCGUAAAGCGCACGUAGGCGGCUUUGUAAGUUAGAGGUGAAAGCCCGGGGCUCAACUCCGGAGCUGCCUUUAAGACUGCAUCGCUUGAAUCAUGGAGAGGUUAGUGGAAUUCCGAGUGUAGAGGUGAAAUUCGUAGAUAUUCGGAAGAACACCAGUGGCGAAGGCGACUAACUGGACAUGUAUUGACGCUGAGGUGCGAAAGCGUGGGGAGCAAACAGGAUUAGAUACCCUUGUAGUC
rnacentral:rRNA from 1 species